GUUGCUUGGCUCCUUGUUUCUUUGUGUCAGCAGCAGUUGCUGCUCUAAUUUAGGAACCCUAGGAUCUGAUUUAGGACAUUUGGAAUCUUUAAGGCACAUUCGAUCUAGAAAGUGGAACUGAAUUGCUUUGGGAAGGCAAGAGGAUGAUUUUACAGUAUAGGGUUUGUGUGGAAAUCCCCUUCAGCAGUAAUCAACCCAGGUGUCCAACCUGUUUGUUAACCAUUUCCAAAUGACUCAGAGGACCUAGAGGGAGGGCUUGAACACACUCCAGCACUGUUUCUACAAUUUAGCCUUUAUUUGCAUUGGAAACCACAUUCCUGAAUUCUUGAGGGGGCAGGCUCUGGCUUAUUCUGGGCAACUGACUUCAAGUGGGACCCCUGAGCUACCUAUGUAAGCAAAGAGUCAGCCAUCUCUGGAGAGUUACCAGGGAGGAGGAUCUUUCUGUGAACUUGCUUUGAUGACCUCCACCCAAAGCCCUUUGAGGAACAGUUUUGUUUAUUCAAGGAGCCCUUGGCAGGUCACUCCUCCCCUACCACAAAUCUAAUCCAAAUGCGACAUUUUCCUUUGAGGCCAUCUAUCCCUUUUGGGGGACAAAACACAUCAGCUUUUCCCUUCAGACCACUUUUGACUGAAGCA
rnacentral:lncRNA from 1 species